rnacentral:lncRNA from 1 species
AAAGGUCACGACACAGUCUCAGCUGCAGCAGAAAGGACUGAGAGGCAGAAAGAUCUGGAGGAGAGUCGAGAAAACAUCCAGCAGAGAAUCCAGGACAGAGAAGAAGAUGUGAAGCUGCUCCAACAGGAGGUGGAGGCUAUCAACGGCUCUGCUGAUAAAGCUGUGGACCACAGCCAGGAGAUCUUCAGCCAGCUGAUCCGUCUGAUGGAGAAACGCCGCUCUGAGGUGGAGCAGCAGGUCAGAUCCCAGCAGGAACGUGAAGUGAGUCGAGUCAAAGAGCUUCAGGAGAAGAUGGAGCAGGAGAUCACUGAGCUGAAGAGGAAAGACGCUGAUCUGCAGAAGCUCUCACUCACAGAGGACCACAACCAGUUUCUGCACAGCUACCCCUCACUGUCAGAACCGGGUCAACCUGCAGACUCAUCCAGAAUCAACAUCCGACCUCUGAGAUACUUUGAGGAGGUGACAGCAGCUGUGUCAGAGCUCAGAGAGAAACUCCAGGAUCUUCUGACAGAGACGUGGACAAACGUCUCACAGGCCGUGACUGAAGUGGAUGUUUUACUGUUAGAACCACCAGGACCAGCAGAACCCAAGACCAGAGCUGGUUUCUUAAGAUAUUCACAAAGAAUCACACUGGAUCCAAACACAGCGAACAGACGACUGAGAUUAUCUGAUGGAAACAGAAGAGCAACAAAGACAGAAGAAGAAGAAGAAGAAGAGUCUUAUCCUGAUCAUCCAGACAGAUUCACUUAUUAUCCUCAGGUCCUGAGUAGAGAGAGUCUGACUGGACGUUGUUACUGGGAGGUGGACUGGAGAGGGACCUGGGUUGGUGUAGCAGUCGCAUACAAGACUAUCAGGAGAGACGGGUGGUCAGAGGAUUGUUACUUUGGAGGAAAUGACAAAUCUUGGAGGUUAGAGUGUGAUAAAGACAGGUAUAGAUUUGGUCACAACAAAGUCUUCACUGAUGUCUCAGGUCCUCAGUCCUCCAGAGUAGGAGUGUACCUGGAUCACAGCGCAGGUAUUCUGUCCUUCUACAGCGUCUCUAAAACCAUGACUCUCCUCCACAGAGUCCAGACCACAUUCACUGAACCUCUACAUGCUGGACUGAAGUUUGACUGGUCUGUUGGAGCCUCUGCUGGGUUUAUUAAACUGAAAUAAAGAGAAUUUUGAGUCCAUCAGACCAAAAUCAUGGACUGAGAUCCUUGAACUCUUGAAAUGUUCUGGUUUGUAAAUGUUUGUGGAUCAGUCUCACCAAAAACUCUGGGUUUAGUUCUUCAUUUCAGCUUUUUGAUUCUUUUCUAAAGAUGCUGAUUUGGUCGCAGCUUUAAGGACAGUGAUUGUGGAGAACUUUGAUUGUUUGUAUUUCUCAUGUUGAAAAAUCUUCAUACAGUUUGAUAUCAACAACAUCAAGAUGAUGGUUUGUUCAAAUCACCUUCAGUUGGUGCAGAUGUUGAAGGUCUGAGACUUUAGAAAAAAGUGAGGUCAAAAUCACAGAAAAAGGACGACCUUAUUUCCUGUCCCAAAUCCAAGCGUCUAAAGUCUUUCCAGUCGUCCCCAAAAACUCUUCAGAUGAUCUGUUUCUUUCUCUGUUUGCUGAAUAUUUGUGUUCAUGUGAUCGAUGGAUAUUUCUGUCUGCUUCUGUUGGAUCAGUGUGUUUGUAAAGACAUCUAGAAUCAGACUUUGGACAGAUCUACAUGUUGUUAUGAGCUUUUCAAUCACUCUAAUAAUAAUAAUCACAUUUAUUAGUCCGACUGUUUGGAUGUUUCUGACUCAGCUCAGAUUGUGGUCAAGUCUCUGAUUGUGGGUAAAAAAAUCAUAAAAAUCCUCAAACUGAGUCACUGAAAUCACCUCGUCUGUUUGUCUUUAUUGUGUCUGUUUCUGCUGGAUGUCAUGUUACCGCUCCGUCUGGGUCAUGGAUCCAUGUGGUCUUACAUGUCCCAGAUGUGAGUCCUGCAGCUGGAUCAGGUUUUCUGUAGAGGACAAAGACAGGAGGAGGUUGUGUGUCUUUUUGAUUUGAUGUAACCAGACUAGUCCUGUUGAGAUCAUCAAUCUCUUUUUCAAGAAUGGCAGCAAAAAACAAACACACUCAGACUCACACAGAUCCACAUCAGCAACAAGAACUCAGUGUUCAUGUGACAGAGUCCAGCUGAUCUCUAGUCUAAGGAAAGAAGUCUGGUCCACGAGAAGAAAACCGACUUAAAGGUGAAGUAGACAGGAAUCUGUUAAAGAAGCAUCUUUUUAUUUUGUGGUUUUUAUACUCCCCGUUUCUGUCCGCUCUGUAGGUCGCCGAGGAGCUGAAGACCACUCCUUUGUCGUCAGUAGAUCUGGCUCUCAUGGUGACCACCUGUCUGGACCUCAGUCCGGCCACCUUCACCUGGACGGGGUCAUCAAACAAACACCUGGCACUGGGCAGCAGCUUCAGUUGGACCUGAGAGGACAUCUGCUCGUAGACGGAAAAGUACUUCAUUACAAAUUCACACACUGAGUUGAUCCAAAUAAAGACAUUUUAAUUUAUCAGUAAAAACAGCAAAAAAGUUGAAUGAAAGAAUGAAACUGAUUUCACUACAAAGUUUAAAGGGAUAUUUCAGUAUUUUUUGGGGGGUUGCCACAAUUUCUGCAGAUGGGACCAAGUCUGCAAUGUAGACUAACCCAAGCACCGGAUCCGUUUUUGAGGCGAAUUUCGUGGCGGAUUACUGACAGUAGGAAUCACGAGAACUCACAAGAACCCGCAGAUUCACAUGCAAUCACGUGAUAACGAGUUGUCUCUCUAAAGACAGACACAUAGACAUAUAAGCAGUAGAUUGUGUCCUUCCAGAGGAGGAAAUCUACUUCUAGACUUCUAGAAUCAGCAUCUCCUCAUCCAUGGUGUCAUCGGGGUGAAAUGACGUCUAAAAACCUUUCACUUGUUCGUCUCCGCCCGUUUGCAUGGUGUGAAAUACGAUCCUCCUGAAACACGGAGUGUUUUAUUUUGAAAAGAAGCCGGAUGUUUUAUUUUGUGUCUGUGCCCGACUUCCUUUCCAGCACGGGUUAAUCUGUGCUGAAUUUAUCCGCCAUGCUCCGGCGUCCAGAAAAAAUAGAACUCUUGUGAUCAGCUGAGGAGUCCGGCGAUCCGCAGAGGAACGGAAAGAAGUCGGUGUAAAUUGACACGUUAACUUGAAUGGUUACGAUCAGCUACGAUCGGGUUACCCCCAGUUUCCCCCGCGUCCAGAUCGGCUACAAAAGGUCAUAUCCUGCCUCACAAACAGACCCGCCUGGAAUUGGCAGCCGCUGUUCAGGACACGGUGGAAAUUUGGGGUAAGGCCUAGUCAGGACUUGCUGCCUCUUCCUUUUUCCUGUUUUUUCUUGUUUUGUUGCAGGUUGUUGGCAGGUGGGGUUUAGCCGGACCAGGGAGUUCCUGCCCCCACCCUCAUCAGACACUCUAUGUGGCAACAGGGUUCUGUUUGGUUUUUUUUGGCUUUGUCCUCCUUCGGACUUUGGUUUUACACCUGACAACAUGCUGCACACACACAUCUUUCUCUCACUUGUUUUUCUAAAAAUAAGAAAUGAGACUCACGUUGAGUUUAAGGGACGAUCCAAAUUCAAGCCUCUUCAGAUCCUGCGCUGAUGUCGUCAGUUUACAGGGCAGGGAUAAAGUCAAAGUCUACCAAUGACAGACUUUGGACCCCAAAAACAUCUCUUAGCCAAUAGGAAACUAGGGUUGGAUGAAGCACACGCCCUGUGGGAAAUGCAGGUAAUAAUCAUAUCGCAGGAAUAAUGGGGUAAUCUGAGUUUUCUAAACCUUCACCUGUUUAUUUUGGUAUUUCCCUCCUAAAUCGAUAAUCCUGCCACAACAUUUUUUUUCUCUGUAUAUUUUUGCCCAAACCAGAUGAAUUAUUAAUCCGAUCAGUCAUCCUCAUUUAGUUAAAUGCCAAACCAAACAGAUCCUGGUGCAGUCACUGACUUGUGUUCCCGAGAUAAGAUGAACCAACAUUUAGAAAUAGCUCUCCCACAUUCAGCUUCUUUUAUAACUGAUGAGACUGAAAAACUCAACUUCAAACACCGAGUUAGACCCCCCCUCCAGAGAUGAAUGUUGUCGACCGCUUCCUUCUCUAGUUAUACCAACUUUAGUAACGACCGCAGGAUAGAAAUACAGAGAGCCACGCCCCCAACCAAAACGCCACUCUAUAGCCACAAAUAAUGCUCAGAACAGCACCUAACUUCAUCAACAGGACAUAUAGGGUCACAGCCAUAGUACUAUAUUCAGAGUUGUUCUAACUCCUAAGAAAACAUAAACUUAAACUCUGGCCUGUAGUCUUUAAGCUGGGCCAAUAAACUUCUACUGCAGUAAAAUGAAAAGGUAAAGGUGUUUUUAUUAUUGAGCCGAAUUAUCAAUAAAAUCAUGAUUUUGUUAACAGGUAUGGAUUUAUGUGCUGUUGAGUUAAUAUAUUUGAACAAGAGCACAGUAAAGUUAAAUCAGCUAAUUUUCCAAUGAGGUUCUGUUACUAAACAGAACUACACCGUGUUCUACUGAGGUUAGUUCAAAUAGGGUCACAGCCAUAGUACUAGACACCAAACAUCUUUUUAACUUUAGCAAAGAGACUAAACACAACUCACCUACUCUCUUCCAGCAGCCACUUGUUUGUGGCGAGACCUCUGGCCAGUCCAUUACAGACUACAGCGGGGUGCCGUAGCUCAAGGAAGAACAUUUAUGAUCAUUUCUUCAUGGAAAUACAAUCAGACCAAAACGCUAUGACAGAAGAACUACUGCGUCUGAAAAUGAUUAAUAUGGUGAUUAUUACUUCAAGGAACUCAUCAUAAAUGUUAUGACUUUUACGCUGGAAUAUCCCUUUACCUGCUGUUUUCACUCUGCUGCAUAUUUUCACUGCGGUGUUCCUCAAGGAUCCAUUCUUGGUCCUUUUUCGUUCUCUUUACUUUUUUAAUAACGAUUUUUUUAAAGGUUGUGUUGUUUCAAACACUCACGAUGUUGAAGCUACGUUUGUCUGAGGUCUGUUCACAUUCACAGUUUUAAUCAUAGAAAACAUUAAAGUGGUUCACAGAGGCUUUGAGGGUGAGGAGGACUACAGCAGCAGAAGUGUGACGCUCUUCAUCAUUCCUGCAGUGAAGCUUCAAACUGGGACAAAGUGGUCCGGUCCAAAAUCACAUAAAAGAGAAGAAAUCAAAAAGUGUCUGUGAUAGAGAAGAACGAGCAGCUGAUCCUGGACUCAUGAAUCCUCCCUGAUGGAACCCUUUAGUUUUCAUAUGUGGGCUCUCGCAGUCCAGAACCAGGACCCCAGCAGAGUCAUGGAUUUUCCAGCAGGGAGCAGUGAUACUGUGUGUGUGUGUGUGAUAGUGGAGGCCCGCUGAGGCUGGUCUCAGUGAUUUGUUCGUCCUGCUGAACGAGUUUUUUCUGCCUGUCAUUAAAGCAGCCAGGCAGGGAGAAACAGUCUGUCACAAACCCCUCUGCGUCUGCUCCGAGUUCACCUCCGUCCGUCCGUCCGUCUGAGUCUGUCCCUGCUUUAACCGUAGGUGUCUAAUCGACGCCUUUAUGUAAAACAGCUCACUAAAGCCGAGACUUCAGAUAAAUCUCGAGCUGUAGUGCACAGACAGCACAAAAACACACACAGCUCUAGAUUCUCACUUUAUGUCUCACAAACACAAACAGCUCAGAGGUUUUUCUCCUUAUUACCUCCACAAACAAAACUGUCGAUUUAUUAUAAAUGUGGUAGCGGUCUCUGAUUUACAUAAACCAUUUCAUAACUAUGCAGAAUAAUAACAUCAUCAUCAUCAUCAUCAUGAUCAUCAUCAUCAUCAUCGUCACACAUCCUUCAGUGUAAGCAGAGAGGUCAGGUUUCAGCCUGAGGAAACAUCCUGAUCAAAUGUUGGUGAAAGUCGAGCUGCUUUUGUUGUUUGUUAAAGUUUAUUUACUUUAUUAAAAAAAGGAAUAUUGGGGUAAGAAAAGGUGAUAGGAUCAACAUGUCCUGGAGGUUCAACACUCAGUGUGUUUACAUGCACAGUUUAAUCAGACUAAGAUCAUCAUUUCUUUUUUUUUCUCUGAAUCAGACUUCUCUCCUCGUCCUCGUUUACAUGCAGCUGAGAAAAUCGAAUUAUUGACGUGAACGUGUCCUCCUCUCCAACACUAGGGGGCGAUAUGGGUCUUUUCAGCGGCGCUGUUUCCGACCCCAUACAACCGUCAACAACAACAGCAGGUCAGUGUCAGACGUCAGAAGUGUCUACAACUGCUGCUGGGCAUUUUGGAGAAACAAGAAGAUGGAGCCCUAACCUUAAACCCAUCAUUACAGAACAUUAUCGCAAUUCUGAAUCUCCCAAACCUAAUCCUAAACCUAAACCUAACCCGAGCCCUAACCCUUAUCCUAACCCUAACCCUAACCCUCAUCCCAAUCCUAAUCCCAAACCCAAACCUUUACAGUUAUCCUAGCCCUCAUCCUAAUCUUAACCCUAAUCCUAAUCCUAACCCCAACCCUAAUCCUUACCUUAAACCUAACCCGAGCCCUAACCCUCAUCCUAAUCCUAACCCUAACCCUCAUCCUAAUUGUUACCCUCAUCCUAAUCCUAACCCUAAUCUUAACCCUAACCCUCAUCCUAACCCUAACCCUCAUCCUAACCCUCAUCCUAAUCCUAACCCUUAUCCUAAUCCUAACCCUAAACCUAACCCUAAUCUUAACCCUAACCCUCAUCCUAACCCUAACCCUAAACCCAAACCUUUACCCUUAUUCUAACCCUUGUCCUAAUCCUAACCCUAACCCUCAUCCUAAUCCUAACCCUAAUCUUAACCCUAACCCUAAUCCUAACCCUAAUCUUAACUCUAAUCCUAAUCCUAACCCCAACCCUAAUCCUUACCUUAAACCUAACCCUAAUCCUAACUGUAAUCCUAACUCUAACCCUAACCCUAAACCUAACCCUAAUCCUAACCCUAAUCCAACAGACGCUGACGUUUCACAGCCAUCAGGAAUAACCAAUCAGAGCCCAGCACUUCUAGCCAAUCAGAGGAGAAGGAGGCGGGACCUUCCCCUCCCAUCCUUUGAAAAGAACUAUCAAGUCCAGGACCUCAGUCAGACUGAGUCUUAAAGGUCCGGCUGUUGUUUCAGUUAAACUCCAAACUAAAGUUCCUGAGUUUAAUGAACAGAACCAACCCGUCACCAAAGAAGUCCAGACUGAAGUGUCUUCAGACCCAGGCUGCCCCUCUGGCCUCAGACCUGGUCCACCUCCCAGACCUGUGUCGGCCCCCCGGCUCCACCUGCCAAUCACCUUCAGCUCCGGCCCACACGCCGCUCUCUUUUUCACCCCGGGCAGAAAAACCAAUUAGCGUCUCCGACAGUCGUCUGCAGAGCCUCAGCUCGCUUUAUUUCCCGCUCCCCGUGACCACGAAACAAUCUGGUCUGCUGACCCGUGUUAGCUCAGGUCAGGCGGAGGAUAAACGCCGCAGGAGAUCGCCGUGUUGUAGAGAUUCAUUCGUCCCCCGGCUGUCCAGACCACAUCUUGUUCGUCCUUGUGUUUGUGUCCUGAAAGAGCGUCUCACAUUCUCAUUUCCACACAUGAGGAGUCUCUCAGCGGACUCCAGCCGAGUCAGAGCGAUCCUCCUCCGCCUCCGUCUGAAACUUUUAAUUUCUCCGAGCAGCGUGUGUCGCUCUGAUUUGCAUAUGAAAUCUGUUUCAUGGUCCUCUGAUGAGACAUUCAGCUCUGAAGUUUUAAAACACUGCCUCACACUUCCAUCUGGCGAGCAUGUGUCUGCCGAGCGUCGCCGCAGUGUGAUGUGGGAACAAGCUAAUUAGGAGUGAGGCCCAAACGAGCGUCUGAGAAGUUAGAGAAGAGCGAGAAGAAGAAGAAGAAGAACCAACAGGUCCUUCCUCACAAACAAACGCUCAAGUAAAAUCUGUCAAUGAGAAACUAAAGUGGCUCCAGGAUUUUCUAGGUUUUCUGAAGACUUGAGUAAACCUGCUCUCCUUUCAGCGAUGGCCUCUGAACGACGAAGACACAGAAACAGCCUGAAAAAGGAGAAAGAGAGAGAGAGAGAGAGAGAGAGAGAGAGAGAGAGAGAGAGAGAGAGAGAGAGACAAAAGCUGAGAUGUUUUUAUGAAUCACAGGAGCUGCUCCUUCAGAGGAAGUCCUUGAGGUGGAGUCAGAAACUGAAGACGGUUUCUCUCUCACCAGCUCUCUCUUCAUUAGCUCCUCUUCAUCUCAGAUCUCAUUCAGCAUUUACUUUCUUCCUCUUUCUUCCUCUUUCUUCCUCUUUCUCUCACGGCCUUGACCACCAACCAGCUUCAAAGAUCAAAUUCAGAGGUUUAAAAAUGUUGAUUUCUCUUUUAGAUCCGUCUUCCAUCCUGAUGGAGAGGUCAGAGGACUGGGUAUGAAAGAGUGAAGGUCUGUUCAAUCACAGACAUUUUCUAAUGAUUCUUAAAAACUCGAUUUAAAAUGUUUCCUGGAGGUACAGACUUCUUCUAAAAUGACUCUUAAGUACUUUAUGUCGUGAUAUGUUCUGGUGUAUUUUGUGUUCCUGUUCCCCUGUAGUCCCGUCUUGUGAGUUCUCAGUUAGACUCUGUUCUCUGUUUUAUUCUUUAGAUAGGUUUUCAGUGUUUAUUUCCUGUUUUAUUUUGUAGGAGUUGAUUCCUUGUGUUUCUAGUCUGGUUUCACUUCCCUAGUUUUCCCUCCUUUGUUUAUCACUCAUCAGUCUCACCUGUGUGAGUCUCAUGAGUGGUUAACGUGUGUCAGUUGCUGCGUCCGAACUGCCCGCUCGGAUACUACAUGCUACUGCUACGUGCUACUGCUAGAUCCUACUUCUACAUACUAAAAACGUUGGCCCAAUUCGGACACACUAGACGAGCGGUGGGGAAAGACGACCCCCGCAGGCAGAGAGUAGGUACUGCGCCCGUGCAGACAGUGGUAACUGAAGCCCCUCAUCUGCGGGCCUGGCUGUAGUACUGCAGCUGUGCAGUUUAAUGAUGGAAUAAGUGAGCUUUACCUCCAUGAUGUCGCCACUUGCUCAUAAAAUGAUUACUUGGGCAAAUAUGACACCAUGACAUGACAAAGAGAUACAACCGCACAUUUUUUAGGACAGUGUGUGAAGUUACAUGAAACUUACAUCUGUACUGCUUCGGUCCCGCCUGCUGCUGCUGCUGCUCCGACAUGGUGCGCGCUGCUGUGGCCAGCCGGCGUUCGCGACACUUUUAAAUAGGCAGAGCAGCUGGUGGCGCUAGCAUCACAUGCGCUUCUACAACUUUUAAGAGGACGAAGAAGAAGCCCGCGGUGCAUUUUGGGUCAGUAGCAUGCCCGUAGGAUGCACCGAGACCAACCUACAAUGUGGGCGUGUCUAGCAUCUGAAGUAGUAUCUGAAGUAGCAUGCUACUCGCUCCGGUGGCCAAUUCGGACAUGCUAGAUACUACUUCGACUACUACUUCGACUACUACUCGGCAAUUCGGACGCAGCUAUUGAUAUGUCCGUCUCACCUGUUGCUCGUUGUGUGUGUGUGUCUGUUCCACGUGUUCCCUGAUCUUUGCGUCCCUUGUCUUCUUGUGUCUGUGGCUGUUUUUUUUUUUUUUUUUUUUUUUUUGGACAUUUUAAAAGUUUUUGUUGUUUUUUUUAUUUUAUUAUUUUUUUUUUAAAUAAAUCCUCUUUUAGGUCCUGUUUGCACGUUUGAUGAUGUGGUGUUUUCAUAAACGAUUAAUGUACUUAUUUAUGUAAUGUAAUGUAAUGUAUUAAUGUACUUACACUAUUUAUGUUCUCUCUUAUUUUUUUAUUUUAUGUUAAUAUAAUGUAAAUAUUCUGGAGACUGACUCUUUAAUUAGGGAGAGGAGAAAGGCUUAGGUUGACUCGUACUCCUUUUUGGAUAUGUUGGGUUCACAUUACUAUUAUUGGUAUUUUUUAUUAAUUAAUUAUUUUUUCAUUUGUCCUUUUUUUGCCUUUAUUAUUGUUCUUGUUAUUUUGAAUAUUCUCACUAAUUUUUGUUUGUUUGUUUUCAGUUUACUCUCUUGUAUUGCACGCACAUGUUCGAAAAAACUAAACUAAACUAAUAUGUUAAUUUUAAUUUUUUUUUUAAAGGUUUUUAUGUUUUUUUUUUGCCAUGAAAUUCCCUGAUUUUUUUUAAUGGGAAAAACACAGAAUAUGGUAUAUUUCCAAGAAUGAGGUGCAAAGUUAAAUAUUUUUGAUAAAGAAAUAAAAGCCUUAACCAUGUAAAUAAUUGAUACAAAUAUUGAUUUUAAUGCAUUAUAAUUUUUGGCAGAAUUACAUAUUUUUAUUUCAAAUCGCUCGGCCCUCCUUCAAAAUAAAAGCGUGUUCAAACGAUCCUGAUGGAGUUGAAGCUAAAACACGUCCUGCAGUGCAGCAUCUACACCGAGCACAGGAAACAUCUAUACUGAUCUGGUGUAGAGACAGAAACUGCAGGAGGAAACCAAAAAUAAAAGCUGGAACUUCUUCACACCAUCAGAGGAUAUAAGAGGAUGAAGUGGUAACAUCAGACAGCAGGGGGCAGCAGCACGCCACCGCAGUGUCUGAAAAGAAACAGAAGAAUCCACAGAGCUGAGUCACAUCUGUGGGAUUUAUUUCUGGACCUAAAAGGUAAACAUACUGAACUGAUGAUGUGAAAUUAAAUCAGAUAUAACGAGAAUAUUCACUCAUGUCAGUGUUAGGGUUUUAGUUCUUAUUGUGUUUUUAUUUUUCAGGAGGUCGGAGCUUCGACAGAUUUCAGUUUGUCGUUUCAACAAUCCUGUUCAAACCUCGAUCAGGUCCAGAGAGGAGAAACUGUUCAGCUCACUUCACAAGAAUCCAGAUCCUGUCCCGGUAAAGGAAAGAGCAGAGACCUGAUCCUGGAGGAGGUUUCACAACGAGGAGGAAACUGUCAGAUGGCCUCGGGCUCGUCGAUAUGUAUUUUUAAAACUUGGAGUGAAAGUGUCUCUGAGUGGGUGUGGAGUCAUGUGUACUGCAGCAGGUCUGUCACUAUUGAUUUAAAGGUCUGACUGAAACAGAUCAAUAAUUCUCAACUUGGAGUAUCUGGUUCUGAAACCGGUCUCUGAGUCCGUGAAGCUGGACUCCCUUCACCCACUGAAAAUACAGUUUUUGUAUCAAAACUGAAAAAUCACAUUAAUUAAAUCUUUUUUAUAAACCAUUUCCCUCUCUCCGGUGGAAACCAGUCCACCUCUGCUUCAGGGCCUGUGUCCACUGACAGCUUCUGUUUGUAGAGUCAGGGCCUGUCUUCAGGUGCAGAUCUUAGUUUUGUUCUUUCCACCGGAUUCACAGACUCACUUCCUGUCCUGACUUCACUUAAAUCAGUAAAAGUGCUGCUGACGACUUUAGUGGCCCAGGUGAGCAGCAGAAAAACUGCUGUCAGUGGACACAGGCCCUUACACUGACCAGUUUUUGUCUGACUUUAAUCAGCAGAGACACCCUCCCCCACAGGAAAUACCUCACAUUUAAUUUACCACAAUAAAAUCAACGUUAUCAUGUCAUCUCUUUUUCUUAAUCCACGUUCGGGAGUGUUUGUAGAAAAACCUUCAGCUGCUGCUGUGAGAGCAAAUAAAUCUGAGCAGCUUGAAGUGAUCCUGAUCAAUUCAGCUAAGACCCAAUUUUCAGUCCGGGUAAACAUGCCGAGCUCAGGAGAUCGGAAACGAGCGAUUAGAUUACUCUGAAAUUUAAUUUGGUUUUCAAAAGGCGAGACUUGAGACGAGUUAUUGGGACGUUUACCGGUUGAUAACUGAGUGUUUGAAAGAUCAUUCGGACUUUUAUUUCUCUAAUAAUAAAAAGACUGAAAUACUGAUGAGAAAACUUUUACACUUUAAAAUACGACGAUCAUUUUAAAACUGAAAUAAACAAAACUUAAAUCUUUGCAAUCAGCGUGAGCUCGAUGUGGGUAAGCUAACUCCAAAAAUGUGAGGAUAAAGAGACUUACCCGGGAUCCAGCGAUCGUGUUCAGACGGUGUUUUUUUCCUGCUUAAAUAAACGUCCGAAUUUCCUCGUUUACAGUCUGGGUCCUGCUUCAGAAGUUUCCGAUCAGAGUCUGAAAUCAUCAAACAUUCAGCAGGUGCUUCUUCACCAGAGUCAGGUCUGUGGUUCUUCUGGAGAG